AAAUGCUCAAACCUGUCGAACGCUAAUCUAGGCCAAGCACAUCUGAAGAACGGAUCUGCAUAUAAAGAUUAUUGUUGAAAAGAAAUCAUGAAUACAGCCCUUGUCGUUCUGAUGGUUGCUGUUGUUGCAGUUGAGCACAGCCAACAAGUCCAGUCCACUAUUACAUUCCCAGCGUUGAUUGAUCAUUGUCUCAAGAAAUGUAACGAAUUGUGGCAGGCAUGUAUAACGAUAUGCGGGCCAAUCAUCGAUGACUGCAGCCAGUGCAGCACCAAGGCAGAAAGUUGCAGAAACAAAUGUUUUAACAGAAACUCGACGUUGAAACUAAAAACGAAGAGAACUCUGAGAAAUAUCAUAAGCACAAAGCAAAGGGAUAGCAGCCUUGGACAUAAUCAAGCAAAUCCAGAAUCAGAAAGGCUCCCAAAUGAGAUCCCAGCAGCAGGGAGAAUUGUAAAUGAACCAAGUAUCACAUUUGAAGAUGAGGUACUUAUCGAAACAGAGCCAUCACUUACCUAAGUACUGGAAAAAUGAACAUCACGAAUAAUUGACUAAAGAAGAAAACUUUACUUUCGGGUAUGCAAGUCUAUUCUAAAUAAAAAAUUUUUACU